rnacentral:rRNA from 1 species
CGGAGGGUGCGAGCGUUGUCCGGAAUCACUGGGCGUAAAGGGCGCGUAGGUGGCUUGGCAAGCGUGUGGUGAAAGCCCGGGGCUCAACCCCGGGUCUGCCGUGCGAACUGCUAUGGCUUGAGCACUGUAGAGGCAGGUAGAAUUCCGGGUGUAGCGGUGGAAUGCGUAGAGAUCCGGAAGAAUACCGGUGGCGAAGGCGGCCUGCUGGGCAGUGGCUGACACUGAGGCGCGACAGCGUGGGGAGCAAACAGGAUUAGAUACCCUGGUAGUCCACGCCGUAAACGAUGGGCACUAGGUGCUUGGGGGAGCGACCCUCUGAGUGCCGUCGCUAACGCAGUAAGUGCCCCGCCUGGGGAGUACGGCCGCAAGGCUG